CUUGUACUCCCUUCGUUCCGAAUUACUCGUCGCAGAAAUGGAUGUAUCUAGAAAAUACAUCAAGAUACAUCCAUUUCUGCGACGAGUAAUUCGGAACGGAGGGAGUAUAUC
rfam:Triticum urartu cultivar G1812 contig71357, whole genome shotgun sequence.